UACGUAGGGUGCAAGCGUUGUCCGGAAUUAUUGGGCGUAAAGAGCUCGUAGGCGGUCUGUCGCGUCGGCUGUGAAAUCCCGAGGCUCAACCUCGGACUUGCAGUGGGUACGGGCAGACUAGAGUGUGGUAGGGGAGACUGGAAUUCCUGGUGUAGCGGUGGAAUGCGCAGAUAUCAGGAGGAACACCGAUGGCGAAGGCAGGUCUCUGGGCCAUUACUGACACUGGAGAAGCGGAAAGCAUGGG
rnacentral:rRNA from 1 species